rnacentral:rRNA from 1 species
UACGUAGGGUGCAAGCGUUGUCCGGAAUUAUUGGGCGUAAAGAGCUCGUAGGCGGUUUGUCGCGUCUGCUGUGAAAACCCGAGGCUCAACCUCGGGCCUGCAGUGGGUACGGGCAGACUAGAGUGCGGUAGGGGAGAUUGGAAUUCCUGGUGUAGCGGGUGAAAUGCGCAGAUAUCGGGAGGAACACCGGUGGCGAAGGCGGUUCUCUGGGCCUUACCUGACGCUGGAGGAGCG